UCUGAGAGAAUGAUCAGCAACACUGGGGCUGAGACACUGCCCAGACUCCUACGGGAGGCUGCAGUCGAGAAUCAUUGUCAAUGCACGAAAGUGUGAACAUGCGACGCCGCGUGGAGGAAGACGGCCUUUGGGUUGUAAACUCCUGUCAGCAGGGAGUAAGGGUGGUAUAUUUAAUACGUAUGCCAUUUGAUAGUACCUGCAGAGGAAGUCACGGCUAACUCUGUGCCAGCAGCCGCGGUAAUACAGAGGUGGCGAACGUUGUUCGGAUUUACUGGGCGUAAAGGGUCCGCAGGCGGUCCGGUGUGUCAGAUGUGAAAGCCCACAGCUUAACUGUGGAAUUGCAUUUGAAACUGCCGGACUAGAGUACUGGAGGGGAGAAGGGAACACUUGGUGUAGCGGUGAAAUGCGUAGAUAUCAAGUGGAACACCGGUGGCGAAGGCGCUUCUCUGGACAGAUACUGACGCUCAUGGACGAAAGUUAGGGUAGCGAAAGGGAUUAGAUACCCCUGUAGUCCUAACCGUAAACGGUGUGCGCUAGGCGUGGGUGGCUUUACCCCCAUCCGUGCCUGAGCUAACGCAUUAAGCGCACCGCCUGGGGAGUACGGUCGCAAGAUUAAAACUCAAAGGAAUUGACGGGGACCCGCACAAGCGGUGGAGCAUGUGGCUUAAUUCGAUGCAACGCGAAGAACCUUACCUGGGCUUGACAUAUAGCUGCAUCCGACCCGAAAGGGACGGAGCCUUCGAGGGUGCUAUACAGGUGCUGCAUGGCUGUCGUCAGCUCGUGCCGUGAGGUGUUGGGUUAAGUCCCGCAACGAGCGCAACCCCUGUGUUUAGUUGCCAGCACGUAAUGGUGGGAACUCUAAACAGACUGCCUGUGAAAACAGGAGGAAGGUGGGGAUGACGUCAAGUCAGUAUGGUCCUUAUGUCCAGGGCUGCACACGUGCUACAAUGGGAUGUACAAUGGGAAGCUAAGCCGCGAGGUGGAGCAAAUCCUCAAAACAUCCCCCAGUUCGGAUUGUAGUCUGAAACUCGACUACAUGAAGUUGGAAUCGCUAGUAAAGGUAUAUCAGCUACGAUACCUUGAAUACGUUCCCGGGUCUUGUACACACCGCCCGUCACAUCAUGGAAGUGAGUUGCACCCGAAGUUGUUGAUCCAACCCGUCAAGGGAGGAAGGCACCUAAGGUGUGAUUCAUAACUGGGAUGAAGUCGUAACAAGGUA
rnacentral:rRNA from 1 species